rnacentral:rRNA from 1 species
AUUGAACGCUGGCGGCAGGCCUAACACAUGCAAGUCGAGCGGAUGAAGGGAGCUUGCUCCUGGAUUCAGCGGCGGAUGGGUGAGUAAUGCCUAGGAAUCUGCCUGGUAGUGGGGGAUAACGUCCGGAAACGGGCGCUAAUACCGCAUACGUCCUGAGGGAGAAAGUGGGGGAUCUUCGGACCUCACGCUAUCAGAUGAGCCUAGGUCGGAUUAGCUAGUUGGUGGGGUAAAGGCCUACCAAGGCGACGAUCCGUAACUGGUCUGAGAGGAUGAUCAGUUACCCUGGACCUGAGACCCGGUCCAGCCUCCUACGGGAGGCAGCAGUGGGGAAUAUUGGACAAUGGGCGAAAGCCUGAUCCAGCCAUGCCGCGUGUGUGAAGAAGGUCUUCGGAUUGUAAAGCACUUUAAGUUGGGAGGAAGGGCAGUAAGUUAAUACCUUGCUGUUUUGACGUUACCAACAGAAUAAGCACCGGCUAACUUCGUG